AUGAGAAAAUUAAAAAAAUUGAAAAAGGUAGUAAGCGAUGACGACGAUAGUGAAAAAAAAAAUAAAGAAAAUGGUUCGGAAGUAGAAAAUACAAAUGAAUUGAUAGAAAAUAACGAGAAAAAAGCGGUUUUUUCAAAAAGUGAUUUUAUAGUAAAAAAGAAUAGUAGUAGUAAUAUAGUUAAAAAGAAAAAAAAGAAAAAUAGUGUGGGUACUAAAAAAUCUGCUAAAAAAAACAAAAGUGAUGAAAGUGAAGUAGAAGAAGAAGUAAAAUAUGAUGACGAGGAUGAAUCAGGGGAAGAAGAAGAAGAAUACGCUGACGAAUCAGAAGAUGAAAUAAAAGAAGAAUACGACGAAGAAGAGGAUAAUGGUAAAAUAAAUGUGAAAUUAAAAAAUAAAAGUAAAACAAAAGAGGCACUAAAAAAAAAAAAAAAAACUAGUCGUGAAAAUAAAGAAGAUAACUUGUUUGAUAAAGAUGAAGAUAAUGAAAAUUUUAAAAAUGAAUUAAAAACGGAAAGAAAUAAAAAAAGAAAAAGAAAUAUUGCAAAUUCUAAACUAAUGGAAGAUAUUAAUAUAAAUGAAGAUAAAGCAAAAUUAAAAUCAAUUUAUAUGUCCUUUUUAACUAAAAAAUAUAAUAUUGAAGAAUAUAUCAUUGAAAGUUUAAAAGUAAUAAUACCAUUAAAUAAACAAAAUAUUUUUCUAGGUAAAGAAAAUAUUAUUAUUGAUAAUACAACUAAAGAAGAAGUCAAAAAUUCAGAAAUUUUUUGGUUUGACAAAUUAACAAAGAGUAGAAGAAAGAGCAUCAUUAAUUGUUUUACUACUUUAAGUAAACUAGGGAUAGUACUCACGGAUGAUAGUACCACAUAUAAUAUGAAUAACGUUACAGAGGAAACAAAAUGUAAUGGUCACGCUGAUAAUGAAAACAAUGCAAACAACGAUAACAGUAGCUGCAAUAACGACGGUAAUAAUGAUUGUGAUAAGCAGAACCAAAACAAUAAUGUAUCAGAUAAUGUACCGGAUAAUGUUUCGGAUAAUACACCUAAUAAUGUACCGGAUAAUGCACCUGAUAAUGUACCGGAUAAUGCACCUGAUAAUGUACCGGAUAAUGCACCGGAUGAUGUACAGGAUAAUGCACCGGAUAAUGUACCGAAUAAUAAUACUGAUUUUCCCAAUCCAGACGAAACCAAUAUAAAAUCGAGUGAAAAUAUGUCAUGUAAAAAUAAAAAACAAGAACCACUAAAUUUUAAUAAAAUAUUCAGUAAUUAUCAUAAAACUAACUUUAAAGAUUUAAUAAUAAUUGAUUAUGUAGUUAACAUAUGUAAUGAACAAAUAAAACAAAUAAAAGAAUAUAUUGCUUUUUUAAAAAAAAAUAUCUACGAAUUGUCUAUUGUUGAAAAUAAUAGGAUAAUAAAAGAAAUGAAUAUCUUAGAACCCAUAAAAAAGAAGAGAAAUUUUUUUUUAUUUAAAUUUAUGUAUAUCUAUGAAGUAUGUAAUUGA
rnacentral:lncRNA from 1 species